rnacentral:lncRNA from 1 species
CGGGAGGGAGGGCCUGCGGCUUUUACUCCAGAGGUGAAUCUUUGGUCCGCAGUCCUCACGCAGACCAAGAGCAAAGCGGCUCUUACUAGACCAAAAGAGACGGAGGGAACCAGGUGGGAAAAAUCUUCCUUCUCCGGACUCCAUCUGGGAAGGAGCCCCCACCUGCAGAUGUGCUGCGGGAACCACAGCCUGGCCGGCCAUGGGUGCUGUCUCAGGGCACUGGAGCUGCACGGUGGAAGGUCGUCUACAAGCUGCUUGCAGCCCUGGCUGCUGAAUGGAAGACGGCACCAGAAGCUCUGACGGUGUGUGGGAGGGGUUCUCUGCUCCCCCAGAGCUCAGUGGGAAGCAGGAGAGGUGAGUCCCUUCCUUUCCAAGGGCGUCACAGAUGCCCGUUCUUGAACUGGCUGUGUCCCGGUCCCCAGUCAGGUGACAGAGUGGCCCAGUACUCCAGGAUACGGAGCACCCUGGGAGACAGGUAUAGUUAAUGCAAACUUUAUUUAUAAAAGACUCUUAAAUUAGUGGUCUCAUGCCAUGCAUUCAUACAGAAUUCAGUGACCCUUCAGGGGUACAGGGAGAAGAGAUCACAAACUCAAAGGAAAACUAUUAAAGAGUUCUAACAGUUAAGAGCUAGGAAAGAUUAGGACAAUUUUACAAAUGAGCAGUCGAAAAGAAAAGAACAGAAAAAGACCAUGGAAACUAGUGUGCGCUGAGGGGCAGCUGUUUACAAGUCUGUACACUAACUAAUCCACAGACGGCUGUGGGGCGCGGGGACCUGGGGACGGACACGCCACUGCCACUGCCUCCGCUGGUGCCGUACCACAGCCACUUUGUGCAUACCCAGCCUGCGCGGCCGCUCCACACUAUGAGGGCUUCUAGUUUAGUAAACUAAAGCUGCAGGGGGCCUGGACAACAGCUUCAUUUGCGACUGCUCUUUAUUCUCUCCAGUCUUUUUUUCAAGUCGUCAAUGUUGGUUGUGGAGGAGGAGGAGGAGGAGGAAUUUUUCAAAAAUGGUUCAAUAUCAGCAUCUGAAUAUUUCUUCUUAUAUUCAUAUAACUCUGCUAAGCCCU